GACGAACGCUGGCGGCGUGCCUAACACAUGCAAGUCGAACGAGAUCCAUGGGAGCUUGCUCCCGGAAGAUCUAGUGGCGAACGGGUGAGUAACACGUGAGAAACCUGCCCUGGAGUGGGGAAUAACUCGGGGGAAACUCGAGCUAAUACCGCAUACCCUCGGAUGGUCGCAUGGCCGACCGAGGAAAGAUUUAUCGCUCUAGGAGGGUCUCGCGGCCUAUCAGCUAGUUGGUGGGGUAACGGCCUACCAAGGCAACGACGGGUAGCUGGUUUGAGAGAACGAUCAGCCACACUGGGACUGAGACACGGCCCAGACUCCUACGGGAGGCAGCAGUGGGGAAUCUUGCGCAAUGGGCGAAAGCCUGACGCAGCAACGCCGCGUGCGGGAUGACGGCCUUCGUGGUUGUAAACCGCUUUCAGCAGGGACGAAAA
rnacentral:rRNA from 1 species